rnacentral:tRNA from 1 species
GCCCGCCUAGCUCAAUCGGAUAGAGCGUCAGACUCUUAGAAGCUAGGCUAUUGCGCUCUUCGUUUGAUCUGAAGGCUGCGAGUUCGACCCUCGCGGUGGGCU